UGAGCUCUUGUGUAAUUGACAGCCCUGCUCAGACAAAGGAGGACUACUGGACAUCAGUUUGACUGACACCAGCCUUCUCCAGCACUACUACAAUCAAUAACCAUUAACAGAAGUCUACUGGACUUGUGGAUUUACUGCUAUUAAUAAGCCGUGUCUAUCUGGGUGUAGUUUAUGAAGGAACUUUUAGGUCUGUAACUAAAAGGAACUGCUUUUCUGUAGUUUUGUAGCCUUAUCCCUGGGCUUGGAGAGAACCACAACUCUUAGAGCCAGAAGGGAGAAACAACAGAGGGAAGCUUCUCUUCAGAGCUGGUGAACGGUGAUGCGGUUUGUGCACGGCUUCAGAGGUAGCUGCCUUGCUUCCCUGUGGUUUCUAAGCCACCGUCCUGCAUGCACAAGAGAGGAGCAGAACCUGAGCUGUGUGGGAACACCAGCUGCUCAGCCUGGUGUCUCUGGCCCUUCUGCCUGGGGAUCUGGAGCUAUUGGUCAGGCAUCACACUGCGACCCAGUGAACUCAGCCCAUCCGUAUAGCUGGAACAUCUGUCAGGGAUGAACACGGGCUCUCCACAGGCUGCUGUGCCAAAUUCCUGAGAAAUAAACCCUCUCAAUCAGGGUGCUGUUGUUGACAGUGCACUUACGGAGGAUGUGAGUGUCAGCUCCAUCCUAGCAGAGUUAAACCCUGCAGGAUCCCUGCCCUGCUGGUGUCCCCAUUUUGUUGAUAAACGAACAGAGAAAGCCUUAUCAAAAUGAACAGAAUGCAGCCCUGCUAAUGUAGCUCCACUUGUGCUGAAGAUAAUUGAUGCUUUAAUAACGCUACACAUUAUCCAGGUUGUGGUUGGAGUGUACAUGUGAGGAGAGGCAUCAAUCACAGGUAGUUGUAUUCAACUUUUAUCAGUGUUCAGGUGGGUGGCAAAGUGUGUUCUGUGCUGCUCUGGGGGAAGGAGCGUUGGGCUCUGAGAUAGCAAGUGAAUGAAUCAUCACCUGCCUUUCGCCUGUAUCAAUUUCCUGCAGAUUGGGAGAGGGAGGAUUUACGUUUGCAAUUAUUUUCAAUUUAACUUUCAAUUAUUGCAGCAGGACACAGGAGAUGCCAUGUGCUGCUGUGCUGGAAACAGACUUGAUGAUGAAAACUGCAGCUCCCACCUGGAAGGCCUUCGGUCUCAUGAUCUAGAAGAGAUGGAGAGCCAGGUCUCUACCUGUUGAUGCAGUACGUGACCCAACUGCCAGCCCUGUGGGGUUGUGGGCAGGCCAUGGGGAUGGCUGCUGAUUAUGCACCAUAGAGCCUUAUGGAGUGGCUUCCAUUAGCUGUGUUUGGCUGUAUCCAAGGGCCAGUGUAUAUUGAUGUUGUGUUUGAUGUAUUAAUGAUAUCUGACAUUUCCAUGGGGUGGCUCCAAGCCUCACUGAAGCCAACAGGAGCUGGAGUGGAUCUGCAGACAGAUCCCCUGCUGGUGCAUCCUCUCCCAGGCCUGGUGUCCUGCACUUGGUGCAUCAUGUGUGAAGCAGUAGUGGGCAGCUUUGAGAACGGUGCUCUCCUGUGGAGCUUUUCCUUGUUAAGAUGAUUCCUGAAGCAUCCUGCCUGGCAAAAAUGCCUCCUCUGGCCUGUGUCUGGCUGAAGGCUUGAUUUCUCAAAGAUAUUUAGUAAAUGAGCUCCUGUGUUCUUUGAGGAGGAUCAGAGAGAAAAGUGGUGUGUUCCGAGCAUCAGCCUCACGUCCCACCACGGUGAUGCAGGGAGCACUGAGGUUUGGUCUCAGGUAAGAAUCCCAGAUUCUGUUCAGGAUAAAAUAAGGGAGUAGGAGCUCCUGAUGCAGGAGGUUUGUCUUGCUGGAACAAGCACUGUACCUGGGCAAAAUGUGUGGAGGACUUUGCAUAGCCAGAUUAGUGCCUGGUCUGAGUCAUGGGCUCAGAAAAAGUGGUCUCAUGGCCUCUGCUGGCUUUCAGACCAGUGAUGGGUGAGAAAUGCUCACAUGGAUAAGUAAUGAGGACAGGGAACAUCCAAUUAAGCACUCAUCUCAGCCACCAGUAGGAGCUAUGUCUUUAUCACUCAUAGAAUGCUUCAUAAAGGCUCUCUCGAUGUUUUCCACUGAGUACAGCAAAACAGAACAGAUAGAUGCAUUCCGUUUCUGCUUUAGGUGUUUCUAACAUUAUUCAUCACUGCUGUAUCUAAAUACGAUCUUCCUUUGUUUUAUCACCGUUUGGAGUGCCAUUAUCAAAGUGAGAUUGAAAUAACUACAUAAUAAAAUCCCAGAUUAAGCUGAAACUAUGGUAAAUCCCUGCGAGCUGUAGAAAGGUAACAGCUAAGCUGCAUGGACUUGGCAUGUUGUCAAAUGACUGCGAUAAAACAUGCUGAUCCGCA
ensembl:lncRNA